GCUGCGCCAAGGACAGGCGCUGCCGCCCGCAGCUCGCCUCGCGCCGCAGCCCCUGCCCGCCGGGCAGCCGCGCACACAGACGGCCACAGGGCCACUGCUUCGGCAGGCCCUUGCUCACAGGGGUGGUUUUCCUUUUAUUGGGACAUGCAGUGUGGAUGUCAAGGUGAACGUGAGCCAGCACCGUGCCCUGCAGGAAGAAUAGUUCUGGUCCUGAAGUAAAUUAACCAAGUUCAUUCCAUCUGAAUUGUGUAGGUCAGGUGGUAAUUGCACGGAACAUCAUUCCACUGCCCAUUCUCAUGCCAUAUUAUAACAACACAGUCUUCUCCAGCAGAAAAGAAACUAUCAGAUGUUUGCCUUGCCAAGAUGAAUCUCCAACCUAGCACUUAGACAUUUCAGCCCUCCCUUUAUCUCCAAAGGGUGCACCAAGUGGCUUAGAUCAAUGGCUGGGUUCUGCAUUCCAGAACAGUCAUCAAACACCAUGUUUAAUGAACACAGCUACUGAUGCAAACAAAACAUUACUGCUUGAGCCACUAAUUGUGUAAAGGCCAACAAUCUCUUGUACAUAACUAGAGCUAGGAAGCAGCUUAUUUCAAAUACAUCUACUAUUUAGAUUUAUAGGCUUAAUGUCUUUACUUCAGGAUUAAGGAAGCAUUUUUUCAGCAUGUUUAAAUGAGCUUAAAGCAUAAACUUGUCUUGGCAACCUUUGGCACUUGUAAUGUUCACCAUGAUUUUUAUUUUAUUUCACUUUGGCUGCUUCCCUAUCUGAUUGCUUCGUAAUGCAAGAUUAAUGAGGCUAAACAAUAAAACGUACAAAAAAAAAAAAAAAACCCAAAAAAACAAGCAGUGAUGUAGGGACUCAGCUGACUGGAUGUUCUCUAUGCCAUUUCAUCUUAAGUGAAGCACAACAUCAUUAAACCAUUUUAAUCACCACGGCAAAGCUUAUUGGCUGCUGUCUCUAUUUUUUUUCCACAAUUUUGGUAUAGAACAGGAAUAUACUUUUUCAUAAUAGCAGGCAAAUUCCUAGAAGUCUUCUUCAGAAAAGCCUUGUGAACAUGUCCCUCACUGUUGAGGUUCUAACUGGAUUGCAAGUCCCAGUUAUUACCCUGCUUUAUAGGUUGUCUGAAUGACAACAGACAAGGGUACAAUGAGUAUAUGGAUCAUCUCAGGAAUCCUUGGCUUGUGGUUCAUGCUGUUAGGCAGCACCGAUACUGUUAUACGAGAUAUUCACAGGAAGUGAAAGGCAUUGCGUUUCCUUUCAACAGAAAAAAAUCAAACAGAUUACUGUGAGGAUUUGGCAAUGAAUAAAAUGCUUACAUUAACUUCACCUAGUAUUUAAAUACAUUUAUACAUUGAGAAAAACAUACUUUACAGCAUAGGCUCUGUUUCACUUCAUUUCACCCUAGUCCUGAAAAAGAUUUUAUGAAUGGGAGUAGUUUGAUAGAACUCACCAAGAGUAUUCAUAAGACUAAAAAUUCCAUUCAGUGGAUGUUUAAGCACAGGCCUUGCUUUAAAGCCAUGGGUGGUGUCCUAAACUCCGUAGGGUAGAUCCCGUGCAUACUUCAAGCACUUGCUAAAAUAACACACUGAAAGAGGGAUUGGGCUAACAAAGCUGGCAAGUCUCUGCUGGGAGAAAUUUGCGUCAAUUUGAAGACAACAGCUAUGUCUAAACUUGCCUAUGAGCACACAAGAUAAAUCACACGUCAUGACCCCAUAUUCUGAAUAUUUAGAUCAUAGUUGAAUGGCCACCGUCAGACCCUUAAUCUGGGCUUUUUUUCACGAGAUUUGGGAAACAUACAGAAUUUGGAUCGGGCAGGCAUGCAGUCCUCCCCAUUGCAGUUACUCUGUGAGC